AUCUGUAUUUUUAUUGUUGAGUUGUAGGAAUUAUAUAUAUAUGUAUAUAUAUGUGUGUAUAUAUAUGUGUAUAUAUAUAUAUAUAUAUUCUGAAUACUAGGCUUUUAUCAGUUAUAAUUUCUCCUAUUCUGGGUUGUAUUUUAUUUUAUUUAUAAUGUCCUUUAAUGCACAACACAAAAGUUUUAAAUUUUGAUCAAGUUUAAAUUUUUCUUUUGUUCUUUGUGCUUUUGCUAAAUCAUUGCCUAACUCAAAGUUGAGAAGAUUUUCAUCUGUGUUUCUUUCUAAUAAACAUUUUACAGUUUAUUAGGUCUUGAUGCAUUUUGAUUUAAUUUUUGUUUGUGGUGUGAAGGUCCAAAUAAAUUUUACAUGCAAAUCUCUAAUCGUUGAAAUUUGUUUAUGUCUUAGGACUGCCUAGUCUUCUUAAGAUGGCCAGGCAGGAGGACAUUUUCCCCCUAGGUGAUGACCUAAGGCAAGUAGACCAUCAGUUAUUUCUUCAACAAAAACAGAUUUAUCAGGAUCAGCAGAGAAUUGAAUUUGGGAUCUGUAGUCAUGGUGAACCACAUGCUGGUUCCCACAUAGCAAGGGAAAGAGAGCACUUUUAUAGAGGGGAGAAGGAAGUUGAGUGGCUAUAGUAAACAAAAGAUUCAUGGCUUUUCAUUGGCUGACUCCUUGCCAGGAAAGACGAGGAAUCUCUUCUUCAUUGGUCUCUACUAUUGUUGCAAAGCAUGAGAGCUUCGCCUCUGGUCUCCUGACUCUAUUUGAAUGAGGUGUCUGUUUAUUGACUUCUUUACAUUUCCCCCUUUUGAUCAAGAUCUUUCCCUGAAAGCAUCAUGAUUAAGAACUGGAAAACUACUGAGGUCACGUUCAAGUAAUAAGGACCAGUAAGAGGGAAAACUCUCAGAUACUUUUUAUGUAAAGUUCACAUAGUAUCAAGAUCAUAGACACUGGAGGUCAUCUGAAGUGUUACGUCAUGAUCAGAGUUUUGGGAACAAACACCCAUCAGGCCUGGUCCAAAUAUUUUGGGAAAACCAUCUCAUCAGUUAUUGUCUGCUUUGAUUCCAAGAAAUCUUUACAUUUAGGUCACCAGAUGAUGUGCAGAUAGUCUAGUUUAGUGCUUACUUUAGGUAUGUUACGUGAAUCCAAGAGUCUACUCCAUGGGGUUUGGUGGCACCAGGGUUGAUUAGCAAUACCUGAUAAGGGCCUUUCCAGGAAUUCCCACAUGGCUCAGCAAGUUAAGGAUCCAGCAUUGUCACUGCAGUGGUUUGGGUUGCUGCUGUGGCACUGGUUCUAUACCUGGCCUGGGAACUUCCAUAUGCUGUGGGUGU
rnacentral:lncRNA from 1 species